ensembl:lncRNA
AGGGAAAGACACUAAAUAAAGUGCAUCUCCACCUUUUAAAACAGUUAAUUAAAUAAUGUUGACCUGGCUUCAAAAGUAAACAUCAUUGUAGUUUAUAACUUAGGAUGGAAUGCUUGCUCUGCGCAAGGGUAUAGGGUAUGAGACUUGUCAGAAAUUUUCCUGUUGAGUUUAUGAGAAAAACUGGAGAAAAUUCGAGUCUCUAAGCAGACCCAUAGAGAUCAAAUGUAAAGUUCUGGCACAGGCUAGAUUUUUCUUGUGAGGAUGUUAAGGUGCCUAGGGAGAAGAGAAUUGCCAAAUACAUAGCUAUUCAUCUGCCUUCUUUAUCAUAUACUCUAAGUAAACUGGCUUAAAUCCAGUCUUUCUCUCUCCUUUUGCAUUGAUCCCUUUUUGAAACAUGAAAGUUACAGAUGUAAAUUACAAAGUAAGCCAGUAUUAUAUGAAAACAUAUUUAUUGGAUGAAUAAUAAAACUUAGCUAAGGAGUUGUUAGAAUUAGAAUUCCCCCUACUUGAAGUACAAGUUUCCAGUAAACAAACAGAAGCAAAACCACAAAUGAGAAAGAAUACAUUGGUAACCUAAAUCAUAGGCAUUUGGGGGUGUGUUCGAACAAUCUAUCUACUUCUUUGUAAUUUACUAUAGCACUGAUGACAAAGCAUAGACAUACAAUGAGAGACACAAAUCAGCAUUAUCAGUGUGACUGUGCAAUCACUACAAAGCUUGGCCUACUUAAAUGUGGCCACUUUAACUGACACACACCCACAGAGGCACCAGAAAUCUCCCUGUGAACGAGAUUUGCCUACAGUUUUGUGGCAAUGCCAUUACAAAAUAUAAAAACAACUCUUAGACCAUGGUUAAUAAAUAAGAGAGAAAAGAAGUAACAAACAACUUCCAUGGGUUGCCAGGCAUGCAAGGCAGCACUUUGAACCUCAUCUGAAAAAGAGGCAACUCGGAUAGCUUUUAGAGCCCAGGAGUGGAGUGAAGGCUAGAGGUUGAGAGGAGGGACCUAGUGUGGACCAGCAUUCCCAGAAAGUCCUCGUUGAGCCUGCUCUCCUGCCGGCUGUCCUGUUCCUGGCCCUGCUUGAACUUGCUCUCCAGCUCAGUGAGGGAUUUGUCCGAGUUGGAGUAGGCAUCCCCGAUCUGGUGGGACUCCCGCCGCAGACCAUUAUUAAGGUGGGUGCUUACAACCCUGGCUGGAAGUUCACCGAAGAAAAAAGUGGAUUGAAUCAUGUCUUGGACCAAACAGACAGACUGAGUCAAUCAUAAUGGUUAGCUGACGUGUUAACUGCAUGUGUCUGAACCUUGCAGAAGUGUUACCAAAAGGUACCUGGGAGAAAAUUUCCAGGAAAUUGUACAACUGUAUUUGAGAUGAAGAAAGCAGGCAAGUGGCUAAAUAUUUUUUGGUCUAAUAGCUUGGCUAUUGUUGUACAUACUGUAAAUUGGACCCUGGCAGCUAUAGUGCAAUUUUGAAAGUGAAAACUGACUCUAUUUUUCAUCGAUAAAUAUUUUUGAGAGAAAUCUUGCUAAUAUCAUGGAGAUAGAGCUAUAUUGCAAUACCUAAUGCUUACAUAUUUUAUCGAUUCUAAGAGCUUAUCAACUUUAAGAUGCAUGAUUACUUUGUGG